rnacentral:lncRNA from 1 species
GAAUGUAAUAAACGAAUUUCUGGAUUUUGUAAAAUAAAAUAUUUUCUACCCCUCGUGGUAGCGUUUUUUUAAAAGAUAAAAGUUCCUGUGUAGGAAACAGCUUUCAAAAGGUUUUCUGUGAUUUUGUAUCUUAGUAUUUCAAAACCUAUUUCUGUGGUUGGAAACAUUUUAACUGAUAAGUGUGGAUUUAUGCAUAAAUGUGAAUCUGUGGUGAAUGGUGUAUGAAUAUAUAUAACGGUUGGUUAUUUGUAUGUUCAUUUGUUGUGGUUGUGCCUGGAUGACUUCUUGUACUUGUGCGACGCCGUGCAAAUACAGGGGAGACUCUGUCCGUGUGAACAGUGGAUUUCCUGUAUUUGUGGCGGAUCUGGCAUACUCUGGGGUCAGGUUUUCAAAAAAAAA